rnacentral:rRNA from 12 species
UGGGGCAACCAUACCAUCCUGCGAGUGCCCAAUCCCGUCCGAUCACGGAAGCUAAGCAGAGCCAGGCCUGAUUAUUACUUGGAUGGGAGACUGUCUUGGAAGACCAGGGGCUAGUAGACUCAG